AUUGAACGCUGGCGGAAUGCUUUACACAUGCAAGUCGAACGGCAGCACGGGGGCAACCCUGGUGGCGAGUGGCGAACGGGUGAGUAAUACAUCGGAACGUGCCCGGUCGUGGGGGAUAACGUAGCGAAAGUUACGCUAAUACCGCAUACGAUCUGAGGAUGAAAGCGGGGGACCUUCGGGCCUCGCGCGAUCGGAGCGGCCGAUGUCAGAUUAGGUAGUUGGUGGGGUAAAGGCCUACCAAGCCGACGAUCUGUAGCUGGUCUGAGAGGACGACCAGCCACACUGGGACUGAGACACGGCCCAGACUCCUACGGGAGGCAGCAGUGGGGAAUUUUGGACAAUGGGCGCAAGCCUGAUCCAGCCAUUCCGCGUGCAGGACGAAGGCCUUCGGGUUGUAAACUGCUUUUGUAUGGAACGAAAAGGCUCCGGCUAAUACCUGGGGCUCAUGACGGUACCGUAAGAAUAAGCACCGGCUAACUACGUG
rnacentral:rRNA from 1 species